UAACGGCUGGACCAAUUGGGCUGACAUUUUUUGAGGAAACUCUUGAGUACCCGAGGGGUAACAUUGGUUAAAAAAAUUAAAAAAAUUUCUUCAAAAAUCGAUUUUUUUUUCAAAAUUCGAUUUUAAAAAAUUUCACGGGGAAUUUUGAAAUUUACAGAUUAUAUUUUCCAGCAUUGAGAAGGGCGGAAAGAAAAGGAAAACUGAAGCAGAUGAGGAUGAGGAGGAGGAGGAUGAGGAUGAGUCUGCUGAUGAUGAUAUUGAGGCUGAAAACCUACUUUCCGAGGACGAGGACGAUGAGGAUGGCGAGGAUCUCAUUAUGGACAGGGUGAAUGAUGAAGAAAUUGAUGACGAAGCUGAAGAACCGAAAAAGAAAAAGAGAAGCAAGAAAAAGCAGAAACUUGAAACUCCGAAUACUAAAGAAAAGAAGAAGAAUAAGAAGGGAGAAAAGACGGUGAAGGGUAAAGGAGAGAAAGUUAAGGAUGGCAAGAUCAAGAAGAAAAAGAAGAAUUAAACCAUUGUCAAAUAAAUUUUUUUUAAUAUAAUUGUUAAAAUCUCUAAA